rnacentral:rRNA from 1 species
CCUACGGGAGGCAGCAGUAGGGAAUCUUGCUCAAUGGGGGAAACCCUAAUGCAGCAACGCCGCGUGGAGGAUGAAGGUUUUCGGAUUGUAAACUCCUUUUGUAAGAGAAGAUUAUGAUGGUAUCUAAUGAAUAAGCAUCGGCUAACUCCGUGCCAGCAGCCGCGGUAAUACGGAGGGUGCAAGCGUUACUCGGAAUCACUGGGCGUAAAGAGUGCGUAGGGGGGCAAGCAAGUCAGAUGUGAAAUCCUAGGGCUUAACCAUUAAACUGCAUUUGAAACUGUUAUUCUAGAGUAUGGGAGAGGUAGGUGGAAUUCUUAGUGUAGGAGUAAAAUCCGUAGAGAUCAAGAGGAAUACUCAUUGCGAAGGCGAGCUGCUGGGACGUAACUGACGCUGAUGCGCGAAAGCGUAGGGAGCAAACAGGAUUAGAUACCCGUGUAGUC